UACGUAGGGGCUAGCGUUAUCCGGAAUUACUGGGCGUAAAGCGAGCGCAGGCGGUUCCUUAAGUCUGAUGUGAAAGCCCACGGCUCAACCGUGGAAGGUCAUUGGAAACUGGGGAACUUGAGUGCAGAAGAGGAGAGUGGAAUUCCAUGUGUAGCGGUGAAAUGCGUAGAUAUAUGGAGGAACACCAGUGGCGAAGGCGACUCUCUGGUCUGUAACUGACGCUGAGGCUCGAAAGCGUGGGGAGCAAACAGGAUUAGAUA
rnacentral:rRNA from 1 species